rnacentral:rRNA from 1 species
GAAGGUGAAGUCGUAACAAGGUCUCCGUUGGUGAACCAGCGGAGGGAUCAUUACAGAGUUGCAAAACUCCCACAAACCAUCGCGAAUCUUACCCGUACGGUUGCCUCGGCGCUGGCGGUCCGGAAAGGCCCUCGGGCCCUCCCGGAUCCUCGGGUCUCCCGCUCGCGGGAGGCUGCCCGCCGGAGUGCCGAAACUAAACUCUUGAUAUUUUAUGUCUCUCUGAGUAAACUUUUAAAUAAGUCAAAACUUUCAACAACGGAUCUCUUGGUUCUGGCAUCGAUGAAGAACGCAGCGAAAUGCGAUAAGUAAUGUGAAUUGCAGAAUUCAGUGAAUCAUCGAAUCUUUGAACGCACAUUGCGCUCGCCAGUAUUCUGGCGAGCAUGCCUGUUCGAGCGUCAUUUCAACCAUCAAGCUCUGCUUGCGUUGGGGAUCCGCGGCUGUCCGCGGUCCCUCAAAAUCAGUGGCGGGCUCGCUAGUCACACCGAGCGUAGUAACUCUACAUCGCUAUGGUCGUGCGGCGGGUUCUUGCCGUAAAACCCCCCAUUUCUAAGGUUGACCUCGGAUCAGGUAGGAAUACCCGCUGAACUUAAGCAUAUCAAUAAGCGGAGGAA